UUGAUGGCGACCGGCGACGGGUGCGUAACGCGUAUGCAACUUACCUUUUACUAGAGAAUAGCCAAGAGAAAUUUUGAUUAAUGCUCUAUGUUCUUAUUUACUCGCAUGAGUAAAUAAGCAAAGCUCCGGCGGUAAAAGAUGGGCAUGCGUCCUAUUAGCUUGUAGGUGAGGUAAUGGCUCACCUAAGCUCCGAUAGGUAGGGGUCCUGAGAGGGAGAUCCCCCACACUGGUACUGAGACACGGACCAGACUUCUACGGAAGGCAGCAGUAAGGAAUAUUGGACAAUGGAGGCAACUCUGAUCCAGCCAUGCCGCGUGAAGGAAGACGGCCUUAUGGGUUGUAAACUUCUUUUAUACAGGAAGAAACCUUUCCACGUGUGGAAAGCUGACGGUACUGUAAGAAUAAGGAUCGGCUAACUCCGUGCCAGCAGCCGCGGUAAUACGGAGGAUCCAAGCGUUAUCCGGAAUUAUUGGGUUUAAAGGGUCCGCAGGCUGUUUGUUAAGUCAGAGGUGAAAUCCUACCGCUCAACGGUAGAACUGCCUUUGAUACUGGCAAACUUGAGUUAUUGUGAAGUAGUUAGAAUGUGUAGUGUAGCGGUGAAAUGCAUAGAUAUUACACAGAAUACCGAUUGCGAAAGCAGAUUACUAACAAUAUACUGACGCUGAGGGACGAAAGCGUGGGUAGCGAACAGGAUUAGAUA
rnacentral:rRNA from 1 species